rnacentral:lncRNA from 1 species
CCAAGCCUGAAGUGGAAGAAGUAAAGAUGAGGUGAACAGUUUAAAUGUAGAAACCACCAAGAUCUGUCAAAUUUCUGAAAACUGCCUGUUUUAUAUGAAUAUUAUAGAUUGGUCUGUUUCAUUUCCCUCUGCUUCAGCAAAAUAAAACAAACUAAUAAGAAAAAACCCUUCUUCACACAUACACACAAAUGUAAUGAAAGAAAGUAGGCUUCCUCUGUAUUUCUCUUGAUUUAUCUGUAUUCUUGAUAGGAUCCAAAACAGUCCUCAUUUAAUCGCUCACAGUCUUCUCUUCUCGUCCCACUGCCAAGCAACAGCCAAGGGAUAUUCUUUAAACC